GGCAGCGCGGAGCGGAGCUUU
rnacentral:miRNA from 1 species